rnacentral:rRNA from 1 species
UUGUCUCAAAGAUUAAGCCAUGCAUGUCUCAGUACAAGCCAAAUUAAGGUGAAACCGCGAAAGGCUCAUUAAAUCAGUUAUGGUUCCUUAGAUCGUACCCACAUUUACUUGGAUAACUGUGGUAAUUCUAGAGCUAAUACAUGCAAACAGAGUUCCGACCGGAGACGGAAGGAGCGCUUUUAUUAGAUCAAAACCAAUCGGUGGCGGUUCGCCGUCACCGUACAUUUUGGUGACUCUGAAUAACUUUAAGCUGAUCGCACGGUCUCGCACCGGCGACGCAUCUUUCAAAUGUCUGCCUUAUCAACUGUCGAUGGUAGGUUCUGCGCCUACCAUGGUUGUAACGGGUAACGGGGAAUCAGGGUUCGAUUCCGGAGAGGGAGCCUGAGAAACGGCUACCACAUCCAAGGAAGGCAGCAGGCGCGCAAAUUACCCACUCCCGGCACGGGGAGGUAGUGACGAAAAAUAACGAUACGGGACUCAUCCGAGGCCCCGUAAUCGGAAUGAGUACACUCUAAACCCUUUAACGAGGAUCAAUUGGAGGGCAAGUCUGGUGCCAGCAGCCGCGGUAAUUCCAGCUCCAAUAGCGUAUAUUAAAGUUGUUGCGGUUAAAAAGCUCGUAGUCGAAUCUGUGUCCCGCGCCGCCGGUUCAUCGUUCGCGGUGUUAACUGGCGUGCCGCGGGACGUCCUGCCGGUGGGCUUAGCUGCGUCGCGUCGUCUUAGACGUGUCGUGGCGGCCCAAAUCAAUCCCGCCGCGGUGCUCUUCACUGAGUGUCGAGGUGGGCCGGCACGUUUACUUUGAACAAAUUAGAGUGCUUAAAGCAGGCUAAAAUUUCGCCUGAAUACUGUGUGCAUGGAAUAAUGGAAUAGGACCUCGGUUCUAUUUUGUUGGUUUUCGGAACCCCGAGGUAAUGAUUAAUAGGAACGGAUGGGGGCAUUCGUAUUGCGACGUUAGAGGUGAAAUUCUUGGACCGUCGCAAGACGGACAGAAGCGAAAGCAUUUGCCAAAAACGCUUUCAUUGAUCAAGAACGAAAGUUAGAGGUUCGAAGGCGAUCAGAUACCGCCCUAGUUCUAACCAUAAACGAUGCCAGCUAGCGAUCCGCCGACGUUCCUCCGAUGACUCGGCGGGCAGCUUCCGGGAAACCAAAGCUUUUGGGUUCCGGGGGAAGUAUGGUUGCAAAGCUGAAACUUAAAGGAAUUGACGGAAGGGCACCACCAGGAGUGGAGCCUGCGGCUUAAUUUGACUCAACACGGGAAACCUCACCAGGCCCGGACACCGGAAGGAUUGACAGAUUGAGAGCUCUUUCUUGAUUCGGUGGGUGGUGGUGCAUGGCCGUUCUUAGUUGGUGGAGCGAUUUGUCUGGUUAAUUCCGAUAACGAACGAGACUCUAGCCUGCUAAAUAGGCGUAUUUCGACAUCUUAAUUGCCCGCCGGUCCCGGGUUCGCCCGGUGAUCGUGCGCGGUUUUUACUGUCGGCGUACAAAUAAUUCUUCUUAGAGGGACAGGCGGCUUUUAGCCGCACGAGACGGAGCAAUAACAGGUCUGUGAUGCCCUUAGAUGUUCUGGGCCGCACGCGCGCUACACUGAAGGAAUCAGCGUGUCUUCCCUGGCCGAGCGGCCCGGGUAACCCGCUGAACCUCCUUCGUGCUAGGGAUUGGGGCUUGCAAUUGUUCCCCAUGAACGAGGAAUUCCCAGUAAGCGCGAGUCAUAAGCUCGCGUUGAUUACGUCCCUGCCCUUUGUACACACCGCCCGUCGCUACUACCGAUUGAAUGAUUUAGUGAGGUCUUCGGACCGGUACGCGAUGGCGUUUCGACGUCGUCGAUGUUGCUGGGAAGAUGACCAAACUUGAUCAUUU